rnacentral:pre_miRNA from 1 species
UGUUGGUGAAGAUUUUAGCAGUGUUGUUUGGGUCUUGAUGUUUGGGCCCAAAACAACACUGCUAAAAUCUUCACCAACAA